AUGGCGAACUGCUUCGGCGAAGUGGUCGACGACGAGAGGCUGAACAAAAUGGAGAGGUACAUGGGUAAGCCAAAGUCACGCCAAGACAGAGCAAGAGAGGCCUGGAAUCAGAUCAGCAAGGACGACAAGGACGCCAACGCUACCAGGUACGUCGAAGGUCUCAAGUCCAUGUAUGGCAAUGGACAGUCCACACUGUGCCUUGUGUAUAAUGCGACGGGUGACACCCUCCGCAAAGUCGACAACCACGACUGGUAUGGUUAUAUCGGCAGCGCUCCCUACCCCGACGAGAUCGGCAAUGGCCAGUGGGCUGCCUUCCAUCACGUCCACCGGGCUGGCGAGCCGUCGGGUUCCGUAGGCGCUGUUGUGUACCGUGGGAAGAAUGGCGAAGGGGAGCAGAAGGACUAUCUUGUUGCAUGGAGUACUCCAUGGGGCAUGUGGUACCGCAACAAGGCUUAUUGCGAGAUCGGUGCCGUCAAUUGCUACCAAAAUCUUUGGGCUGGUAUGUACAAUAGAGUGGCCAAUUCUGAUUAUUCUUCGAGUGCUAGAUCCAACGGGUGCGAGAUUGAUGCAAGAAUUGAAACAGGCGAUAGCCCGAAAUUUACUGCAAAAAUCACCGUCCGCUGA
rnacentral:rRNA from 1 species